GGUGUCUCAUUGUAUGGCUGACUUCACUUAGCAUAAUUUCUUGGUCCAUCCAUGUUGCUGCAAAUGCCCUUAUUUCUUUCCUUUUAAUGGCUUAGUAAUAUUCCAUUGUGUAUAUGUACCACAUCUUCUUUAUCUACUCCUCUGUCAAUGGACAUUUAGGUUGUUUCCAUGUCUUGGUUAUUGUAUAAAGUGCUGCAGUGAACAUUGGAGUACGUGUGUCUUUUCGAGUCAUGGUUUUCUCUGAAUAGAUGCCCAGGAGUGGGACUGCUGGAUCAAACGGUGCAACCACUGUGGAAAACAGUAUGGAGAGGCCUCAGAAAACUAAAAAUAGAACUACCAUUUGAUAAGUAUUUAUUUUUUAAAUUCCUGUUCAUAUAGUCCUUAGAUCAAAGAGAAGAUUUAUUCGAUAUGUGAAUAUUGAAAGAAUGAAAAUAUACAGAAGUCUGGGAACACGUUCUAUUGCUGCUCUAUAGCAAAGAGGUUUAAUAUCUCAGCCAGGAUCCCACUUACUAAGGAGAACGUAAUCAUGGCACCCUAUUGCCCACCCGUCUUUCUCUGGGAUUGUUCUCUGAAGUUUGCUAAGCAGAAUUAGCUGUUGAUUCAUUUAUGAUUUAUACUUUGAGAGAGUUUGGACUAGACACGUGUGUGCCUCUCUGUCUAGAUGCCAGAUUCCUUGAGGGGCUGGAUAUGUCUUUAUUCCUGGGCACUACGUACCUAGUAUGUGUGCUAUGAAGCAUGCUAUGACAGGGCACUGGGAGGUACCCUGUGCUUGAAAACACCAGAAUCAAGGCUGAAUAACACAAGAAAGGGGGUUUAAUGGAAAGAUCUUGAGUGGCUCCUGGAAUCAAAGGAAGAAUUGAACCACCAGGUCACAGGAAAGCAACAACCAGAGCAAUUGGCUGAGCUCCCUGUAAGGGCUCUUUGCCUCUCUCGGUUCGUCCAUCUGAUGAUGAACCUCCAGCUCCCUUCUUGACCUAGUCUUGGCUCAACAUUCAAAUGCCCAGAAGAAUCCGACUAGUCCACCUGGGGCACGCUGGCAUGAGCCACCUCUGGGACCACUGGCUCUACCACGUGGAAGGCCAAGAGACUGUUUCCCAAAGGAAAGUGGCAGGUACCAGAAGAAAGGGCAAAGAAAUUCUGGAUGGACCAAAGGUACCGACACCCUCUUCCGAAGUGCUCUGGCGUAAGACAAACAUGAGUUCAAAUCCUACCUUCCCCAUCCACGAGAAACCUCAGGCUGCAAAACAUGCUGACUAUAUAAAGCCAUUCUCAAAAUACAUGGUCAUUUUCUUGGGAGAAGGUUGGUGAUGGUGGAAUGUGGAUUGCCGUCAGUUAUGCUAACAUUUCGUCUAAUCCCUUCAAAAUUAAGUAAAUUAAAUGCUAAUAAAACUCUUUGACUGAGGUGUCUACCA
rnacentral:lncRNA from 1 species